rnacentral:rRNA from 1 species
AACGAACGCUGGCGGCAUGCCUAACACAUGCAAGUCGAACGAAGGCUUCGGCCUUAGUGGCGCACGGGUGCGUAACGCGUGGGAAUCUGCCCCUCGGUUCGGAAUAACAGUUAGAAAUGACUGCUAAUACCGGAUGAUGUCUUCGGACCAAAGAUUUAUCGCCCAAGGAUGAGCCCGCGUAGGAUUAGGUAGUUGGUGGGGUAAUGGCCCACCAAGCCGACGAUCCUUAGCUGGUCUGAGAGGAUGAUCAGCCACACUGGGACUGAGACACGGCCCAGACUCCGACGGGAGGCAGCAGUGGGGAAUAUUGGACAAUGGGCGAAAGCCUGAUCCAGCAAUGCCGCGUGAGUGAUGAAGGCCUUAGGGUUGUAAAGCUCUUUUACCAGGGAUGAUAAUGACAGUACCUGGAGAAUAAGCUCCGGCUAACUCCGUGCCAGCCGCCGCGGUAA